rnacentral:tRNA from 1 species
CGAUCGAUAGCUCAGUGGAAGAGCACCUCCGUUCGGAGGCGGCCCCGGUUCGAUUCCGGGUCGAUCAC